AUCAUCUCAGACAAAAUAUGUAUGAAUUUUCGGGCAUCUGAAUGUAAAGUGUCUUCGCUGCUACUGUGAUGUCACGUAAGAAAAAAAAACACGAGGCAAGAGAACCCGUACGGUUCCGAAAAAAACCCUUCGGAUAUGGCCAGAAACACCAUGGAUAGCCGUAUCAGAACCGGAAAAUGAGCGCAUCGGGGCCGACAACAACGCAAGCGAUGAAGACAGCUCGGAAAAAUAAAACAGAUGCAAUAAACUCCACCACCCGGCCGGACUAAAACCGAAGCAGCGCCAACCAUGGUGAACACAGGGCCGUAUGAAAGUGGAAGCCACUAUAAUCAGAGGGAAAUUUCCGAUUGUCAAGCCACCAUAUGGAGACUACAGUAUUUCUUCUAGGCGCUGAACGUUUAUGGAUUCAAGGUACAGUAAUCUGGAUUGGCAAAGCAAAUGCUGGUGACGGGUCUAGAAGAAAUUACUCUCGUUCGAACAGGUUUGAACAAAUUCCCAGCAGCAGCCGUCACUCCGGAAGAAACCACAACCAAACAAAAUGCGCAAAUUCUGGCUGGGUUUGUUUAUUUGUCUGGGAAGCUGCAAUGGUGCCGUGGUAGCAAUCAAAUUCUGGCUGGGAGGUUUCGCAAACCAAUGAGAAAUGACUGGAGGGUGGAACAGCAACGAUGGCAUGGCCCAGGAAACAGAAGACAGAGUUUACACCGAUAUGCGGGAAUGGCAACUAGGAGGAGCAAAACGCUUCCUUCGCUGAAGCAAUCGCUCCAUUCCCGUAUCUGUUAUUCCAACUCCUAGAAGCUGUGCCAAACCUGGGUCGAGCUGGAGGAAUCGGUUUGUAAACAUCGUCACCAGACAGAGUUGCUCCUUGCUCGAGUUGAAAGUUUCUAACAAUAGUGAUAGUGCCUGCUGUUACCAGUCGACCGAAUUGAAACAACAUUUAAAAAAAACAACGGUACGCUGCCUGCUGACCGAGCUGGAUCCACCAUGCCCUCAGUCGAGAACGACGACAUCAGCAGCAGCUCGCCGAAAAUGAAAAUUGUCCAAACCGCAACAGGCAGAACACCUCUUUCUCCAGCAUUUGUGUGGAGCCAUUCAUCAGUUAAGCUGCGUUUGUUAGGUCUGGGCGCAA